rnacentral:rRNA from 1 species
GACGAACGCUGGCGGCGUGCUUAACACAUGCAAGUUGAACGAGAAUUUUUCGAGUGAUUUCUUCGGAAUGAUCAUGAAAAAGGAAAGUAGCGAACGGGUGAGUAACACGUGAGAAACCUGCCUUUCACAAAGGGAUAGCCUCGGGAAACCGGGAUUAAUACCUUAUGAAACCAAACACUCGCAUGAGAGAUUGGUUAAAGAUUUAUCGGUGUUAGAUGGUCUCGCGUCUGAUUAGCUAGUUGGUGGGAUAAAAGCCUACCAAGGCAACGAUCAGUAGCCGGAUUGAGAGGUUGAACGGCCCACCUGGAACUGAGCCACGGUCCAGCCUCCUACGGGAGGCAGCAGGGGGGAAUUUUGCACAAUGGAGGAAACUCUGAUGCAGCGCCGCCGCGGGAGUGAUGAAGGUCUUCGGAUUGUAAAACUCUGUCCGUAGUGAAGAUAAUGCCAGUAACUAAGAAGCAAGCCCUGGCUAAAUACGU